rnacentral:rRNA from 1 species
GACGAACGCUGGCGGCGUGCUUAACACAUGCAAGUCGAACGGAAAGGCCCUGCUUUUGUGGGGUGCUCGAGUGGCGAACGGGUGAGUAACACGUGAGUAACCUGCCCUUGAUUUUGGGAUAACUUCAGGAAACUGGGGCUAAUACCGGAUAGGAGCUCCUGCUGCAUGGUGGGGGUUGGAAAGUUUCGGCGGUUGGGGAUGGACUCGCGGCUUAUCAGCUUGUUGGUGGGGUAGUGGCUUACCAAGGCUUUGACGGGUAGCCGGCCUGAGAGGGUGACCGGCCACAUUGGGACUGAGAUACGGCCCAGACUCCUACGGGAGGCAGCAGUGGGGAAUAUUGCACAGUGGGCGGAAGCCUGAUGCAGCAACGCCGCGUGCGGGAUGACGGCCUUCGGGUUGUAAACCGCUUUCGCCUGUGACGAAGCGUGAGUGACGGUAAUGGGUAAAGAAGCACCGGCUAACUACGUG